rnacentral:rRNA from 1 species
GAUGAACGCUAGCGGGAGGCCUAACACAUGCAAGCCGAGCGGUAGAAGAUCUUCGGAUCUUUGAGAGCGGCGUGCGGGUGCGUAACACGUGUGCAACCUACCUUUAUCUGGGGGGAUAGCCUUUCGAAAGGAAGAUUAAUACCCCAUAAUAUAUUGAAUGGCAUCAUUUAAUAUUGAAAACUCCGGUGGAUAGAGAUGGGCACGCGCAAGAUUAGAUAGUUGGUGAGGUAACGGCUCACCAAGUCUGUGAUCUUUAGGGGUUCCUGAGAGGGAGAUCCCCCACACUGGUACUGAGACACGGACCAG